rnacentral:rRNA from 1 species
UACGUAGGCAGCGAGCGUUGUUCGGAAUCACUGGGCGUAAAGCGCACGUAGGCGGCUUUCUAAGUCAGGGGUGAAAUCCUGGAGCUCAACUCCAGAACUGCCUUUGAUACUGGAGAGCUUGAGUCCGGGAGAGGUGAGUGGAACUCCGAGUGUAGAGGUGAAAUUCGUAGAUAUUCGGAAGAACACCAGUGGCGAAGGCGGCUCACUGGCCCGGUACUGACGCUGAGGUGCGAAAGCGUGGGUAGCAAACAGG